rnacentral:rRNA from 1 species
CACGUAGGGCGCAAGCGUUGUCCGGAAUUAUUGGGCGUAAAGGGCGCGUAGGCGGCUUGGCAAGUGGAAGGUGAAAUCCCUCGGCUUAACCGAGGAACUGCCCUCCAAACUGCUUUGCUUGAGGCCGGGAGAGGUGAGUGGAAUUCCCCAGUGUAGCGGUGAAAUGCGUAGAUAUUGGGAAGGAAACACCCAGUGGGCGAAAAG